rnacentral:tRNA from 1 species
AUUUAAAUAGCUUAAUUAAAGCAUAAUAUUGAAGUUAUUAAAAUGAUUUUUAAUCUUUAAAUA